UAAAUAGCCCAAUGAUUCGCAACUGUCCAAGAAAGAAUUUUGGGGGUUCUUUUUUUUUCAAUUCUAUCUUAUUCUGAUUGAUUCUUCUUAGUUUAAACCCUAGCUUAUUCUCUCUAGUAUUUUCCUCCGCGCUGCCCAUUUCUCUCUUCGUAUUCAGAACUGAAACAGCUUCGUUGCCUUCGACUGUUGCAUCCCGACUUGAGGCAAGAAACAAAAGAAGAGUCAAAAGCCCCUCAACUCUAACUGGCUGGGGUCUAGUGGCUGCAAUUACUUCUGUGUUGUUGUCCAUCAAUUUUUCCAGUAAAUUGGACAAUCAUUAACUCCUGCACUCCUGAGAACCACACAGUUACUGCAGAUUAUAUUCGAAAACCAGUUCCUACUCUUCUAGAAUGCUUUCGUUUGUUAUUUAUCGAUAUUCAACUUUCUUACCUUCUUCUUUGCUUCUCACCCAAUUAGAAAACUUGCUUCACCAUCACGAUUAUCACUCCGCUCCCUCCAAACCCCCCAAUCCCACUCCCUUUCCCAACUAUGCUGACCCCCAUUCAUCCCCACUUCUAAAUCUUCCUACCAGUUCAACAAGUGCUUCCUUUGAACCCCUAAACCCCACCAUCGUGCUAGAGACGCUCUCUUGUUACAACAAUGACUGGAGAAGAGCUUUAGAGUUCUUCAACUGGGCUGAGGAGCAGUGUGGCUUCCACCAUACCAUCCAAACUUGCAACCAGCUUAUUGACAUUCUUGGCAAGUUUUUUGAAUUUGAUGCAGCUUGGAAUUUGAUU